UGAGACCUUAAAAGGCUUUGGAAAGUCCUCCAAGGCUAGGAGAGAGCACAUUGGUUCCCAUGCACCAGCUCAGUGCCAAAACUUGGAACGGACAGAGGGUAAAUAUCCAGCCAGUAUCACAUGAGAAGUCGGGAGGAGGACCAGGAAAUGCAGUGGAACUGACACUCCCAGAAGAUAUACUCUGCAUGGUCCCUGGGCCCUGCAUCCCAUGGAGGUGGAGAGAGUCUUUCUCCCUGCUUUCCCUAAGGACAGCCCUCUCGAGUCCAUAAAGACCAUUUGCUGAGCAGCCACAAUUGAGAAAGAAUCAGGCAUGAGAGCCACACACAGAGCUGUGCUCACCGCAGUGAUGAUCCCAGAAACAAGGAAAGAGUGUGUGUCCUGAGCACUGGACAGGGGAUAUUUCUCACACACUAGAAUUCUGGGAAUCAAUUCUUUUGCUGUUUUAAACUGUUGAGUUGUAUUUCUCUGCACAUCCGGCUCUCCUACCUCCUUCAUUUCUUCCUGUGCAUCUAUGUUUCCCACACAGGGUUUCAAUCCUCCCA
rnacentral:lncRNA from 1 species